rnacentral:rRNA from 1 species
UACGUAGGGUGCAAGCGUUAAUCGGAAUUACUGGGCGUAAAGCGUGCGCAGGCGGUUGUGUAAGACAGAUGUGAAAUCCCCGGGCUCAACCUGGGAACUGCAUUUGUGGCUGCACAGCUGGAGUGCGGCAGAGGGGGAUGGAAUUCCGCGUGUAGCAGUGAAAUGCGUAGAUAUGCGGAGUAACACCGAUGGCGAAGGCAAUCCCCUGGGCCUGCACUGACGCUCAUGCACGAAAGCGUGGGGAGCAAACAGG